rnacentral:piRNA from 1 species
UAUUGUCAAUUCAGGUAAUUC